rnacentral:tRNA from 1 species
GCUCGGUUGGUGUAGUGGUCAGCACAUCUGUCUCACAGGAGGCGUUAGGGGCCUACAAAGGAGGUGAGGUGCUAAAUUACUCCCGUUGUAGGUUGCUAUCAUCUUUGGGCCACAGGGGAUCGUGAGUUCGAACCUCACACCGAGCA